UCUAUGGAGAUUUGAAUCAUUGAAAUACAUGGUUCCAAUCCAAGGUCGACACGUCUGGUUGUUCAUCUACUUACAUUGCUUAGUUUUGAGGGAAUACAUCCUUGUUGCUACAAGAAAUUGUAGUGAUGGGAAAUGUAGUACCUUAUAUGUUCUUUGAAAACUGCACAGAAGAAAGCAAAGUAAUAAUUCUAAUAGCAAUAUUAGGGUGAUUACCGAGCAUGUUAGGAUUUUUUUAAAAACGUAUGAUCCUUCGGGAUUGUACACCACUAAUGAUUGUUCAUUUAUGAGCAGUCAAUUAGCAAGACAU
rnacentral:misc_RNA from 1 species